UACAGAGGUGGCAAGCGUUGUUCGGAAUUACUGGGCGUAAAGGGCGAGUAGGUGGCCAUCUAAGUCAGACGUGAAAUCCCCCGGCUUAACCUGGGAACUGCGUCUGAUACUGGACGGCUUGAGUAUGGGAGAGGAACGUAGAAUUCCAGGUGUAGCGGUGAAAUGCGUAGAUAUCUGGAGGAACACCGGUGGCGAAGGCGGCCUUCUGGACAGUGACUGACGCUGAGACGCGAAAGCGUGGGGAGCAAACAGG
rnacentral:rRNA from 1 species